ACCAAAUUUUAGAGCAUUUCCAACCCAAACCCACAAAAAGAAUCAUUCAUUGAGGUGAAAUUCACAUAGCAAGCAAUGAACCGUUUUAAAGUGAGUAAGUCAGGACACUUAGUACAGUCGCAAGGCUGCGCAACCCCCAGCUCUGGCUAGUUCCAAAGCAUUUCCGUCGUCCCCAGCAGAAACACCGUCCCCAUCAUCGUUCAACAGUCGCUCCCCACGCCCCCCAGCCCUGGGCAACCUCUGAUCUAUGGAUUUGCCUGUUCCGGACGUUUCAUAGAAAUGGAACCAUACAAUAUGUGGCGUUUUAUGCCCGGCAGCCUUGCUUAGCAUCAUGUUUCCAAGGUUCAUCCACACGGUCGCGUGUAUCAGCAUCUCUUUCCUGAUGAAUAGUGAAUUGUAUGGACGGAUCCCCUUUAGUUUCUCCAUCCAUCCACUGGUAGCCAUGUGAACUAUUGCCAGCAUUGGGCUUUUGUGAACAGGGCUGCUCCGAAUGGGCGGGUCCACACACCUGUUUGAGUUUGUUUCCACUUAUUUAGGGGCACACACUUUAGGGGUGGAAUUGCAGGGUCAUAUGGUAAAUCUGCUUCCCUUCAUUCAUAACUUUUUUCUUUUUUGAUUGAAAUAUAGUUGAUUUACAAUGUGUUAGUUUCAGGUGUACAGCACAGUGAUUCAGUUAUAUAUAUAUACACACAUAUGUAUCAGUCAUAACAUACACACAUAUAUACACCCAUAUGUAUUUAGAUUAUUUUCCCAUCUAGGCUAUUACAAAAUAUUGAGUAGAGUUCCCUGUGCUACACAGUAGGUCCUUGUUCAUCUAUUUUAUAUAUAAUAGUGUGUAUAUGUUAAUCCCCAAAUCCUGAUCUAUCCCUCCCCACCUCAGUUUCCUAUGUCUGUGGGUCUAUUUCUGUUUUGUAAGUAAGUUCAUUUGUAGCCUUUUUUUAGUUGCCUCAUACAAGCAGUAUCAUGUAAUUGUUUCUCUUUCUGAUUUAACUUCACUUAGCAUGAUCGUCUCUAGGCCCAUCCAUGUUGUUGCAAGGGGCAUGAUUUCAUUCUUUUUAUGGCUGAGUAGUAUUCCGUUGUAUUCAUACUCACUUCUAACCACACCCACCUUAGAAAUUGGGGAUUAGUAGAGGGUUGUUGGAGAAUUCAGAGGCCCACCCCCUCAAGAGGGAUGAGUAGGAGGAGCCUGUUCCCGGGAACCUGGGGAAGAGGGGAUUUAAAGGAGCCCUCCAGCGGCAGGUGAAACGUUCUCUGAAGAUGGAAACAGGGAACUGGGAUGUGGCACACCUGUGAACCCCAGCAGCCUCCGGUUGUGCUGGCCGCUUCCCUAACAGCACAGCCAAGAAAGGGGCUGUGUGAGUUCCGCCCCAUCUCCUGGACUGUGGGCACAAAGCCCAGUGCCUGUUUCCCCUGGAGCAGAGAUGGGCCCCUCAUUCCAGAGGGAUGGCUUGUGGUUUUCUUGGAUCCCAUACCCAAGGGGUGGCCUGGAGAAGGGACGGCAGCAGAAAGAAGCUGGAGGUUGAGCUGUGCCUGCGCGGGAGCUGCAGGUGGCUGCAGCCUCCAGGGCAAAAGAAGAGGCUGGGCUGAGAGGGUGAGUCUCCCAAACCAGGAAAGGCAAAGUGUUUAAUUCCUACUCUGCCCAUCUCACAACCCUAUUAGUCAAGGUUAAGGAACUCCCUCACCUUCCUCCAUCCCAGCCCCUACUCACUUCCAACCCUAGAGAGGAGGGACACUCUCUAAGGAAUUUGGGGACAGGAGCUUAGAGCCCCAGGUGAGCAAAGAGCUCACCGAGCUUCCCACCCCUCUCCCACCGUGGACAUCCAGCGGCAGGGACUUGGGAGGAAGAAGCGUUACUACCUUUGAAGGAAGUGAGAAGUUUUUGUUUUCUUUUGUAAAUUACGCCAGACAGGAUGUCUUCAGUUCUGCAAUGAAAUUUUGUUUUGUGACUCAGAGGGGUCGGGAAUGCGUUCCAAUUCUGUGAGAGACCAGAAAAGUCACAGGCUAGCUGUGUGUUUCAUCCGCGGCUGCGGAAGGCAAAAGCAAAGUCGUGUGUGACCAUCUCCCAAGAGUCGAGCCUGUUCAGUGCAUUUCAGGCAUGUUACUUUUGUACCUUAAGAACGAAGCACGUGACUUUCCUCUAUACCUGUCUCUUUUGUCCCAGCACAGAGUCUGGCUUGUGGGAGACGUUCAGAGUCUGGAGGUGUGCUCUGUUAGCAGACUGCUUGCUUGCUUAUCACUGCACAGCAGCCCCGACUCAUCAAGGGAACACAGGGCAGGGUCUGCAGCCAUCAGCUGGGGCCUCCUGUACCUCGGGGGUGGGGCCUCUGUGCCCUUCCUAUGGGGCACAUGGCGUGGGGGGGGAUCACCCCUUCCCGCUUCAGCAGAGGCUAACAGGACUGCCUUUCUUUAGGUCAGAAUAGGAAAAUGGGGCCAGAAGUUGCCAAGUGAAACUUGUUAAAAUGCCAUAGUGUCUCCAAAACAAGUGAACCAUUCUCCACCUCUCUGUGCGCGUGCUUGGGACACAAUGGAAUAUUUUUUCACUUAAAACAAACUUGCAAGAGGAAAUGUACCCAAUGUGCCCCAUGCUUCCUGAUCAGGCAUGAAGGCAGGGGGCAACCUGUGUCCUGACCACUGGGUCUCAGGCUUGAGCCUGCGUCAGAUUCACCUGGAGGACUCGCACAACCAGACCGCUGGCCCCACCCCCAGCCUUCCUGCGUCAGAGGGUGUGGGCGGGGCCAGAGGAUUUUCUUUUCUGACCCGUUUCCAGGUGAUGCUGAUGCUGGGGGCCGACAGAACAGACUUUGAGAGCUGCUGAGCUAGCCUAGAGGAGACGGGCUGGGCGGCCCCUGGCGACCUCAGACCACUCUGAAAUUGUUUAAGUGUCUUAAAAACACUCUUUGCCCACCCUCUUCACUUCUGGCUAAAUACCAUAGAGAGGGUUUUCAGGAACUUCUUUUUGUUAUGCUUUUAAAAAAUUUGUUUUUAAUUGAAGUAUAAUUGAUUUACAAUAUUGUGUUAGGUUCUAGUGUACACCAAAAUGACCCAUUAUACAUAUUUUUUCAGGUUCUUUUCCAUUAUAGGUUAUCACAAGAUACUGAAUAUAGUUCCCUGUGCUAUACAGCAGGACUUGUUGUGUAUCCGUCCUACACAUAAGAGUUUGUAUCUGUUACUCCCAAACGUCCUUCUCCCACCCCCUCCCCCAUGCUAUACAGAAAAUCCUUGUCAUUUAUCUGUUUUACAUAUAGCAGUGUUUAUCUGUUAAUCUCAUACUCCUAAUUUAUCCCUCCCCUCCUUUCCCCUUUGGCAAAUGUAAGAUGUUUUUGUUUUUUGUUUUUUUUUCCCUAAGUCUUUGAGCCUGUUUCUGUUUUGUGAAUAAGUUCUUUUGUUUUGUUUUUUAGAUUCCAGAUAUAAGUGGUACCAUAUAAUAUUUGUCUUUCUCUGUAUAGUUUAUUUCACUUACUAUGAUAAUCUCUAGGUUCAUCCAUGUCACUGCAAAUGGCAUGAUUUCCUUCUUUUUUAUGGCUGAGUAGUAUUCCACUGUAUACAUGUACCAUAUCUUCUUCAUCCAUUCAUCUGCUGAUGGACAUUUAGGUUGCUUCCAUGUCUUGGCUGUUGUGAAUAUUGCUGCUGUGAACAUAUGGGUGCAUGCGUCUUUCUCUGUCUGACUUUCUCUGGCAGCAGAGAGGAGCCUGUGAUUUGGGGGGGCGGCAAUUAGCCUCAGGCUUCAGGUUGCCAGUGUAACUACAUGUGUUGUGGGCAAUACUUUAAGAGGAGAGAAAGGCUCUGGAUAAUCUGGCAGGUGGCGUCUGAGUCUGGCAGGUGCAGGAAUCCAUGGCUGGGGCAGGAGCUGGGUAGGGAUCUCUUGUGGGAAAGGAACAUCAAAAUGGGGUCAGUAUUGCCAAGAGAGCUUGUUAAAGUGGAGCUUGGAGGCCCUUAAGGGAGUGCAACUUGGGCUUGUUUCAGCCUGGAUGGACUCUUACCUUUUGACCUGAUGAAGUUAUGCAGAACACCUGCCAGAAACGUACCCUACCCUAACUCCUGACAGUCCAUCCACUUAUAGAACCCCCUACCCUAAAACAACUUGUGAUUUCCUUAAGGACAAAUAUCUUCUGGUUCAUGUCAGAAUCAAAUCACAGUUCUCACCAGGCAACUUAUAACAACCCUGUGGCUUUUUGUCUUUGUCAGCCCUGACUCUUUCUUAUAUCUGUCUCCCCAAUAGCAAUUCUUAAGAAUCCAAGUAAACUCAUUUCAGGCACCUGCAUUUUUAUUAUUAUUAUUUUGGUUGACACUCAGGACCCUCCCACACAAGAGCACCUGCAUUUCUUGGGAAGGAGUGCAGGGCCAGCUCUCAGAGACUUGCUAACCUGGAUUUGGACCUGAUAUUGAUAUUGAGGGCCCCUCAGGCCUCCCUUAAAACCAGUUGGAGGCAGGUUGGUAGGAGAUGCAGUUUUGCCACCACAAGAUUUUUCCUGCAUCUAUUUCUCCUAUAGAGAGUUGACAUGUUGCUGAGUCUUUUUUUAAUUAAUUUUUUUCUUUUCCGUUAUGGUUUACUACAGGAUAUCAAAUAUAGUUCCCUGUGCUAUUCAGUAGGAUCCUAUUCUCUAUUCAUCUUAUACAUAAUAGUUUGCAUCUGCUAAUCCCAAAUGUCACUCUCCUGCCCCCACCCCGGCAACCACAAGUCUAUUUUCCAUGUGAGUCCAUUUCUGUUUUGUAGAUAAGUUCAUUUGUGUCAUAUUUUAGAUUCCAUGUAUAAGGGAUAUCAUCUGAUAUUUAUUUUUCUCUUUCUGGCUUAACUUAGCAUGAUAAUCUCUAAGUCUAUCCAUGUUGCUACAAAUGGCAUGAUUUCAUUCUUUUUUCUGGCUGAAUAAUAUUCCAUUGUGUACGUAUACCACAUUUUCUUUAUCCUUUCAUCUGUCCAUGGACAUUUAGGUUGUUUCCAUGUCUUGGCUAUUAUAAAUAGUGCUGCUAUGAACAUAAAGGGGCAUAUAUCUUUGGAAUUCUAGUUUUAUCCUGAUUUAUGCCCAGGAGUGGGAUUGCUAGAUCACAUAGCUGCCAAGUCUUGGUUAUUAUCCUGGACUUGGGAAUUCAGGGGGUGGAUUCAUCAAUGAAUAGAUAAAGGAGAGAGAAAAAAAUUCCUAAUACAUAGAGGGUAUAUCAGCUUUCUGGAUGGAAGUUGAGGGGAAAACUUAAUGUAAUUGGCACAAGUCAUAAGGCCAAGAAAUUCAACUCAAAUGAAAAGUUCAGUCCCUUGAACACGGAUUCUAGGAAACCUGUUGUUCAUUAGCUGGAGGAGAAGCACAAUUGCAGCCAGUAAAACAUCUUCAGGAAUGUAUGUCAGAUGGAAAAUGUUGGGAAUAGAUGAGUUGGUUCUUGACAAUAAGGAAGUGACCUAGAAGGAUGUUUGUGCAGAGUAGGGAUAACCAAUGCCACAGGGCUGGGGAAAGUUUAAUUUCAGGAAGCAGUAUUUAGAAAAAAGAAAUCAAAUGGUUCUCUGGCAUCCAGAUGAAAGUACCAGUUUCACCAUCAGCACUUGAGGAGGACUAUGCUGCUAUAGAAAUAAGUGAGGGGACGGAGUCAGAAGCAGGUGGUUUAACUUACUGGUGGUAAAAGAUAAACAAAGGCACAUUAAACAUUUUAAGAGUUUGAGAAGUUCCUGUCAUGGCUCAGUGGUUAACAAAUCCGACUAGGAACCAUGAGGUUGUGGGUUUGAUCCCUGGCCUUAUUCAGUGGGUUAAGGAUCCGGUGUUGCCGUGAGCUGUGGUGUAGGUCACAGACAUGGCUCAGAUCCCAGGUUGCUGUGGCUCUGGUGUAGGCCGGUGACUACUGCUCCGAUUAGACCCCUAGCCUGGGAACCUCCAUAUGCC
rnacentral:lncRNA from 1 species